rnacentral:tRNA from 1 species
AACUAAGUAGUGAUAUUCAUAUUAAGUUGCAAACUUAACGACGCAAAUGCCUUAGUUA